AUCUAAGUACCCCGAGGAAAAGAAAUCAACCGAGAUUCCCCCAGUAGCGGCGAGCGAACGGGGAGGAGCCCAGAGCCUGAAUCAGCAUGUGUGUUAGUGGAAGCGUCUGGAAAGGCGCGCGAUACAGGGUGACAGCCCCGUACACAAAAGCGCAUGUGCUGUGAGCUCGAUGAGUAGGGCGGGACACGUGGUAUCCUGUCUGAAUAUGGGGGGACCAUCCUCCAAGGCUAAAUACUCCUGACUGACCGAUAGUGAACCAGUACCGUGAGGGAAAGGCGAAAAGAACCCCGGCGAGGGGAGUGAAAAAGAACCUGAAACCGUGUACGUACAAGCAGUGGGAGCCCCACCACCAAAGCAUUCUCUGGUGUUGAAGGCCCUGCAAAGCAGCAUCGCGGUGGCGGAGCGUCGUUUGCGACGCCCAACACACAAAACAAGCGGUGAAUGCUUUGGGGUGG
rnacentral:rRNA from 1 species